rnacentral:rRNA from 1 species
UGACCUCAAAUCGAGUAGGACCACCCGCUGAACUUAA